GCGUGCGUACAUGUCUACAUGUGAUAUGUGUGUCUAAUGUAAACAGUGCCUAGGCCACGAGUCCUCCUCAGUUUCUCCACUGUCCUACAUUGUGCCUCUCAAGGGGAUGGAAACGGAGGUGUCCAUGUUGGAUCUAUGCUGUGUCAAAUAUCUGAAUUAAGCGACUAGGCUUCUUCUGGGUCGUAUUCACUAGGCACAAAUGGAAGAAAACAGACUGAAAAGGGGAAGGAAUACAUGAACUCCUCCAAUAAGAAACUCGCUGUUUUUGUUUUGCGAAACAUUUUCCGUUGCAGAACGUUGUGCUCUGCUGUAUGUACACGAAUGAAUAGGAUCCCGGUUGUGAGGAUUACUUCACUGAGUAUACAAAACAUUAAGAACACCUGCUCUUUCCAUGAGAUAGACUGACCAGGUGAAUCCAGGUGACAGCUAUGAUCCCUUAUUGAUGUCAAUUGUUAAAUCCACUUCAAUCAGUGUAGAUGAAGGGGAGGAGACGGGUUAAAGAAGGAUGUUUAAGCCCUGAGACAUGGAUUGUGUAUGUGAGCCAUUCAGAGGGUGACAAAAGAUUGAAGUGCCUUUGAACGGGAUAUGGUAGUAGGUGCCAGGGGUACCGGUUUGUGUCAAGAACUGCAACGCUGCUGGGUUUUUCACACGCAACAGUUUCCUGUGUCAAUCAAGUAUUUUCCACCACCCAAAGGACAUCCAGCCAACUGGACACAACUGUGGGAAGCAUUGGAGUCAACAUGGGCCAGCAUCCCUGUGGAACGCUUUGGACACCUUGUAGAGUCAACAUGGGCCAGCAUCCCUGUGGAACGCUUUGGACACCUUGUAGAGUCAACAUGGGCCAGCAUCCCUGUGGAACGCUUUGGACACCUUGUAGAGUUCAUGCCCUGAGAAUUUAGGCUGUUCUGAGGGCAAAAGGAGGUGCAACUCAAUAUUAGUAAAGUGUUCUUAAUGUUUUGUAUACUCAGUGUGUACUAUAAUGCAUUGUGCCUCUCAAGGGGGUGGAAACUGAGUCUAGACUGGGCCUGACUGAAGGCUGGCUGGCCUGAUGCAUUAUGACCUGAAGCUCACAGGCAUUUACAAUGCCCUCCACCAAUCCACUGGACUGUUACUGUUAGGUUGAAUGCCCUCCUCCAAUCCCCUGGACUGUUACUGUUAGGUUGAAUGCCCUCCACCAAUCCCCUGGACUGUUACUGUUAGGUUGAAUGCCCUCCUCCAAUCCCCUGGACUAUUACUGUUAGGUUGAAUGCCCUCCACCAAUCCACUGGACUGUUACUGUUAGGUUGAAUGCCCUCCUCCAAUCCCCUGGACUGUUACUGUUAGGUUGAAUGCCCUCCACCAAUCCACUGGACUGUUACUGUUAGGUUGAAUGCCCUCCUCCAAUCCCCUGGACUGUUACUGUUAGGUUGAAUGCCCUCCACCAAUCCACUGGACUGUUACUGUUAGGUUGAAUGCCCUCCACCAAUCCCCUGGACUGUUACUGUUAGGUUGAAUGCCCUCCACCAAUCCCCUGGACUGUUACUGUUAGGUUGAAUGCCCUCCACCAAUCCCCUGGACUGUUACUGUUAGGUUGAAUGCCCUCCACCAAUCCCCUGGACUGUUACUGUUAGGUUGAAUGCCCUCCUCCAAUCCCCUGGACUGUUACUGUUAGGUUGAAUGCCCUCCUCCAAUCCCCUGGACUGUUACUGUUAGGUUGAAUGAGUAACGAUGAAGCCUACCGAAGCCUACAGUGAUUUGCUCUGACAGCAGUUUCUAUGUUAAUUUGACUAAUGAGUAACAUUUAAUUAUUUUUUUAGAGGUACUCAUGUCAACAAAUGAAUUGAGUUUGUUUCACAGGGAGAUGAGGUGUAUGAACAGGGAUGGACACUAUGAGGAAAUGGGAGGAGAGAGAUGAUGUCAAAUAGUUUUAUAACCUGAAUGAUCAACCAUGUCUCUGACAUUUUGUAUUUUAUUGGAGCUGUGGAUGUGGCUAGCUUUGGUCCAGGGGGUUAGUGCAUUCCUCGCUAACGCCCUGGACCAGAGCUAGUUGUGGCUAACUGUGGUAGAGAGAAAUAUCAUUUUAAAAUGCUGUAAUUUCAAGUAAAUAAGAAAAGAAACCCAAGACCUUACUUUAAAGACAAGAUCAAAGCUGCUCUCCCUAAUGAGGAGUUGUACAUAUAAAUGUAUUUGAACAUAGUAUUAUUUGCAAUAUUAUAAUGUACAGAAUUGUAUUUAUAAUGUAUCUCAACAAACUGUUUUAAUUGGUACAAAGAUGUUCUAGAAUACAGAACGUUUACAAUCUAAA